rnacentral:rRNA from 1 species
AACGAACGCUGGCGGCAGGCUUAACACAUGCAAGUCGAACGCAUCGCAAGAUGAGUGGCAGACGGGUGAGUAACGCGUGGGAACAUACCCUUUUCUACGGAAUAGCUCUGGGAAACUGGAAUUAAUACCGUAUACGCCCUACGGGGGAAAGAUUUAGUCGGGGAAGGAUUGGCCCGCGUUGGAUUAGCUAGUUGGUGGGGUAAAGGCCUACCAAGGCGACGAUCCAUAGCUGGUCUGAGAGGAUGAUCAGCCACAUUGGGACUGAGACACGGCCCAAACUCCUACGGGAGGCAGCAGUGGGGAAUAUUGGACAAUGGGCGCAAGCCUGAUCCAGCCAUGCCGCGUGAGUGAUGAAGGCCUUAGGGUUGUAAAGCUCUCUCACCGAUGAAGAUAAUGACGGUAGUCGGAGAAGAAGCCCCGGCUAACUUCGUGCCAGCCGCCGCGGUAACAC